AUGGUAGUUUCGGAAGCCAUGUUCGUUUAUAUGGAUUUUUUCCAUUUCCUAUGUCAAACGUUUCCAGUUGCUGAAGAUCCCCAAUUUUACUAGGUAACACCACAUGGCAACCUUCUGCUACGAUCUUUAAGAAUCUUAACUGAAACAGGUGACGUAUCCCAGUAAAGUCUAGCGAUGGAUCUGACUUGGACCAUCCUGAAAUUUCAAUUCCUAGAACUCGGAGAUGCUUGAACAGUUUAAAAGAGAGCAACUGCGAGGAGGUACCAAAUCUUGCUAGCGUACGUAUUUGGGAUAGCUGGACAGAUCUCGCUGCAGUGUCAGCAGUGUCAUUUGUUGCAUCAUCCAGGUUGAGCGAGAUCCGGCGGAUCUUGUUUUGAUGUCCUGUCAUGUCUUGCAUAUCAUCGAUUAUAGUUAUGAAAUUCUCUUCUCUAGACUUAUGUAAUAUAAGAUCGAGCAUCAUAUCAUGUACCCGGCAAGAUAUUACCUCACCAUUAUAGUCUGUAUCUACAGGCAGAAUCAUACUUCUAUUGAUAAGCUCAUUAAAAUAGCUCUCUGCAAUAUCCUUUGGAUCUAUCCCACGCUCUUUACAUAUAAAUCCUUCAGCAACCCAUUGCCUAGUCAAAUCAUUCUUGUCAAUUGUGUAGUCUUCUGGAUAAAUACCAAGAUAUAGCAUGCAAGUCUUCAAAUAAUGAGGAAGAUUUAUGUAGCUGAGAUUCAAUAUUUGUCUCAUGCCUUCCAAGCUUGGGCUCACUUCAAAGUUGGAGCCUAGAGACUUCCGUACAUACUCCCACCGCUCCUUUUUAAGCUUGUUUGGCUGAUUGGCUAACAGGCUAGAUGUUGUGAUAAUUGCAAGUGGCAAGCCACCACAUUUUUUCAAAAUUUCAGACGACACUUCGUUCAAAUAUGAAGGGCACAUAUCCUCUGAACCAAAUAUUCUUUUGAGGAAUAAGCUUCUUGAGUCUUGGUCACUAAGGGCCUUCAUUUUGUAAACACAUUCAAUGUGAUUACUACAGCAAGCUCUAGCCACAGCCUCAAUUCUGGUAGUUGUUAUUACUCUGCUACCAUUCGUGUUCUCCGGAAGAGCACAUCUGAUAAUAUCCCAUGCAGAAGCAUCCCAGAUGUCAUCGAUUACAAUGAGGUACCUGCGAUGUAAAUACAUAUGGAGUGUAGCAACCAUCAUGACAGAGUAAAUGAAGACAUGAAAGUAUAUCAUCACUAAAGAUCAAAAACAACAAGAAGAAAAACACAAUUAUCCCUACUCUGCUCCUUUCUUCUCAUCCACUCAGUGAAAGAUUGAGGAACAUCGUUCCCCACUGUCUAUUUCAUCUCUUUAUUUUUUUAAAAAUGAAGUAGCUUUUUUCUGUGGGCUACACUGAAGGGGCAUGGGAUGUCAGAACAACCUGUCUGGUGCUAAAAUUGAGCGAACUAUGGCUCAUGGGCCUUGCUCUGUUUUUCAAGUAACAAUUCUCAAAACUGAAUCAUAUAUACUUAAUUAGGCUGCGGUGAGAAAGAAAUGCUAAUUGGAGGGGUGCAAUUUGAAGAAUAGAAAUGAAAAGCAAUAUUCAGAGUUCUGAUAACAAUUUUAAACCUUUUGUGUAUUUUAUAAGGAUUUCUCUGUUUUUCAUAUGCUAAUAAUGAAUAUUUUAACAGAUCUGAUAAAGUACAAAACCAUUGAAUGCAGAUUCCAAGUAAUGUGAAUGCUAACAAACAUCCAUUAUACAUUUAAGGAUACAACACAUACUAGUCAGCCACAAGAAACCAACGUCUAGAGAACAAAUCUAGACACCUCAUAUUAUAAAGUUCUAAAGAAUACUAUGGUGCUAAAGAAGAAUAGCUUCAAAAUAAAAAAGAAAGUUUCAUAUCAGAAAUCACUCAGAGCACAAUUACUUUGAGACGCGCGUACCUCUUGUCCAAUAGGAAAUUUUUCAGUGCAAUGAUCAAUUCAGACUCUUCCCACAUUUCAAUGUUGGUGUCCUUAGGAGCUACAAAUCCAGCUUGAGAUAAUAUGCUUCUCAGAAUCUUCCUAAUGUUUGGUUUUUGGGACACAGAAACAAAAGCUGGAGACUGGAACUUCUCCUCAAGCUUGUGAUAAAUCUCAUUUGCAAGCGUAGUCUUUCCGAGACCUCCAAAGCCCACAAUAGAGAGCACCUUUAGCUGAUGCGCAGGCACACCCUCUCCAUCCAUCAACUGAAUCAGCUGGUCUCUUGGUCCCUUGACACCGACAAGGCUCGUCGUCUCCGCAUGGAGCGCCAACAAGCGAGGAUCGAUGGUUGUGUUGUUUUGCUUUGGGACAGUGUCGUCAAUCUUGUACCUCGUGCGACGCUCACUUGCCUCCUUGACACGGAUCUUAAGGCCUUCAAACUCUUUUGCAAUCUCAUGCCUAGUGUUCAUUGUUGUCAGCAACUUGGUGCUCCUGGUGAUGAACCCUUUGAAUCCGUGUGGCUUGCUGGAGUCACGUUCCACGCGGAGCAUGAACUCGCUGAUGCUGUCCUCGAUGUCAUAGGACAGCUCGCGAACCUCCUUGGCCCAGCACUUGUCUUGGUCGUCAGGCUCCUCUGAAUCUGAGAUCUUCUUCAUGAAGACAUACAUGCUCUCGAGCUCAGCUUUUAGGAACAUGAUCUGCCCCUUAGCUUCUUUGAGCAACUUGUACUCGGCUGUGAGCAGCUCACUAAGCUUUCGAAGCAGGGAGCCCAUGGCGCCGCCCGAUGCGCUCACCACCGCAGCCUCCAUGGCCUCCUCUUUCCUCUCUUUGCUUGCUCUCAAUGUGACCGUGUGCAGUUUUCUCUGCGGUGCAGUGUGAGGUCUGCCAAGUGCCAAGCAAGCGCUUGACUGGAACAAAUGAGACCCUAAGCAAAGAAAGAUUCCUCUCAUCAAUCACAGAUAGAUACAUAUGCAAUCUCUUUCUUCCUUGUUAUUCCAAUGACUUUUUUCACAUGUGAUCAGUGUUCUCUUUAGCAUAAAGUCGUAAUAAUGGAGAAUAGGGUGCCCACUGCACGGUACCAGUCCAAAAGGAAACAAAGUUGAUAGGUACAUGUGGAUGCCUAUCGUGCGUCUUGUGGUUUGCUCAUCCUAAAAGUCUUUCCACUACCGUUAGUUUCUGAUAAAAUAAUCUAAAGAGAACAAUGAAUACAUACAUAUCAAUACAUGAAACUACCAAUCUCGCUAAAAAAAUAUGUAAGAAACAUGGCUCCAUUAGGCUAUAAUUGUGAUUUUGUUGAUUGUAUGAUAAUAUAGUCAAUCCGACUAAUGUUAAGAUUUUAGAAUUGUCUAAUUCACCCCUCCUCCUCAUAGGCUACAAGCACCGAUUUCUUUCAAAAAAUUAUUAUCGCACGCUGUGAUAGACAGCUGAACCAGCAUCACUAAACGUGAUUUAUUUGACAUUAAUUGUGGUGUUCUCUUUGGAGUGUGUUUUGAGGUCUAUGACAAGACGAUUGGCUACAAUGGGGUCCACAUGCAGAGAUUCUUCUCACCAAUUAUUGAUCAAUGCCGCACUCGCUUUGUUCCUUUUCAUCAUCUUUGCCUUUGGUUUGAUUUUUGUGGAAGGAAUGUGGCCGCUGCCAAUGGGCGCGCGAUUCCGAAGAACUGAAGGUGAGUGAGGGGCGCUUCUAUAUAACUUGUGGAAGCUGGUUAAACAUUAUAGCUUCAAAGCUCAUUAAGCCCAUUAGAUCAAAAUUAGAAGCUGUCAAUUAUAUUAAAAGGAUUAACAUGAAAGCUGUCCAAUAAUUUUAUACAUGCGGUACCCCUUGGAAGCUCGAGGAGCCGUCGUCUCCUCAUAUGUCAGAUUCUAUAAAAGAAAAUACAAAUAGGAAGCCCUUGCAUGUCUAAUUUAGUAUUUUAUAUUCCACGCGUGCAGCUAGCUCGCAUCUUGUGUUAUUCAACGUAGGUCAUGCACUUUGCAUGAUGCAAAGAAGACCAACCAACUCUAAAUUACUCUCUCCGUCUAAAAUAAAUUAUUCUACGAUUCAAAACUUAUUCUAAAAAUAAAUCAUCUUACUCUAUUUAGAAAGUGUAUGUCAUGGUAAGAAUCAAUUAGUGCUAGCUGGAAGGAUUACUACAUUAUUGUGCUGCAAUACAGGAUAUCAAUAUCAGUUCAUUUAUUUAAACAGUCACUAUAUAAUAUGUGAUAGUUACGUAUAAACUUAGCAAGUUUCGGAACCUAGAUGUACACACCACUGCAUCUUAUAAGGAUUAGAUACCAUGACACCGUGAGGAUUGUCGGUGUACGUCACGGUUCUGUUUUUUUAAAAAAAAAAACCGAACCACAGGUGUAUAUAGAAUGUAGAUAUACAGAGAUGAUCAGAAGCCAGCGCGCGCGCCCGCGCACACUCGCUUGGGGGUAAUUAGUUAAUGAUCGACAUUUACCAAACUGACAGCGGAAAGUGCUUAUAUUUCCCUAAUGAGUCAUAUAUUGAGUAUGUAAAAAAGUGGUAGAGGUUAAUUAGACCUUUAAUCUUGCUUAGACAUGCCCGGCCAGCAUCUGCAGGUGUGCGUGUGCACCCGUGACCCAGCAUCAGCAUUUGUACCCUGUGAUACACAAAGAAAAGGGUAAUGGUCAAUAUUUAGCUAGAAGGAAUAUAUAUAUAUAUAUAUAUAUAUACAUGAAAAAUCUAUUCUACACGCGCUUGUAGCUACUCCUACGUAUGUAUCUCAUGAUGGAGGACGUCGUAUCUAACCCAAUAAAAGAUAUGCACGAUGUGUAUAUGAUCAUACUAGACCAUCUGUAAUGGUACAUACGUUGGGUAUAUGACCGAGUAUGUAGACAUACUUAAUUUUAUAUACUAGUAUUAAGGUAUAAUAAUAUAUGUUUAAAAAAUAAGGAUGCUUUUGAAAUUUUUCGUAUAUAUCCCUUUAAAGUAUCUUAGAAUAAAUAUAUAAAUAUACUCAAAAUAAUAAAUGAGUAUGUGAACAUACGCACGAUGGUAUAUUGAUGGUGAGAGUAGCUACACGCGAGUGUAGAUAAAACCCGUCCUAUAUAUAUAUAGGAAAAAUUCAUUCUACACGCAUUUGUAGCUACUCCCAUAUGUGUAUCUCAUGACGUAGGACGUAUCUGACCCAACGAAGAGCAUGUACAUGAAGUACGUGAUCAUAUUAGAAUAUCUAUAAUGGUAUAUACGUUGGGUAUGUGACCAUACAUACAGUAUGCGAACAUACUAAUUUUUAUAUACUAGUACUAUAUAUAUGAUGAGUUUUUUCUACACUCGCAUGUAGCUACUCUCAUCAUCAGUAUACCACCGUGCGUAUGUCCGUAUACUUAUAAUUCACUUUAAAUAUGUUUAUGUACUGAUUCUAAGAUACUCACAAGGAUACAUAUGAAAAAUUUCAAAAGCAUCCUUAUUUUUUAAAUAUAUCAUCAUUAUACCUGUAGUAUUAUUAGUAUAUAAAAAUAAGUAUGUCCAUGUAUUUUAUGUAUGGUCACGUACCCAAUAUAUAUACUAUCAUAUAUAUAUAUAUAUAUAUUAAGUGCUGAAUUUUGAAAAAAAAAAGACAUGGUAUAUAAAAGAAAAGGAGCUCGUGCAGUGCGUGACGGACCCACACACGUCUUAUCAAGUGCUGCGCCAACGUAGGGUCCAGCGCAUCAGUCAGGUGAUUAUUGAUUUCAUUAAUCUCCUCGUGAACGAUGUGACUAUCUUUGAUAAAAGAGAAUUCCUUUAUCCGGGCCUCCGCGUGAUUUGUAAAGUGGCGUCAAUAGAUUUUAAUUCUGGAUCCCUAAUUUGUGAAGCUUUGUUCAUCUCGCCGUGAGGACUAGUAGAAUGAAAAAGAAAUAGAGACAAUUCGAGACAAAACAAUUUGUUACUCGGUCCUCAUCAGGUAGUAGCUUGCAUGGAACCGACUAAUCAAAGCUAGAAAGCACUUGAGCAUCCAUCAUUAUUCCUAACUCAACAAUUCCACACCACAGGCCUGUGAUGCUGAAAAUUGAUUCAGAACCAGCAGCAUCGGAAAAUAAUGACAACUUUCAAACGAACAGUACAGCUAGCUGACAGUAGUACAUGAAACGAGAAGACUGGAGCCGGUCGGCGGCCGACAGAUGUGUGUAUCGUCUAGAUUUCUUCAGCAGAGACAUGAUAUGGUCCUGCCCACAACCACAGCCCAAGCAAUGGCCGUCAAAUGAAAUAUCCAACUGAAACGUCGUGGUACCAGCUACGAGUAUGUAAUGCUGCUGGCGAUUCAUAAAAGGAGGCAAACUGCAUGACUUUGUACUUGGCCUUGAUCAUGUGCUGCUGCUGCUACUCCCACCGUUCCCCUCCUCCUCCUCCUCCUCAGGCUCAUCAAAUACCCACCCUCUACCUUUGUUAACCUUGAUGUUGGCUACAGGACGUCGUGGGUGCAUGUCAGCCGUGUCCCUCAGCGCGGACUCAGCAGCCUCCGGUUGGAUUCGAGCACUGCCAGGUCUAUCCCCCAUCUACAGAGAUUUCUUUGAGGCCUGGUAGGUGCUCGAUGCCAGCAGGCACAGCUCCGUACCUGUCCAUCCCUUUGCAUUGAAACAUAGCUCGAGCCUUUCGAGCUUGGGCAUUGUCUCUGCCUCAAAGGUCAGGUACGAUAUCCUGCCACAGAUGAUUCUAAAAUGUUUCAGAACAGGGAAUAAUCCACUUCCUCCAGGAAUGAUGAUCUUAGCUUCAGGAGCUCUACGGAUGUGCAAAACUAGGUGGAUAAGGGAGGGCAGCUGUGAAAGAAUUCCAACAUCAUCCUCCAACACCUCCUGAACAGUGAGAUCCAGGUCAUAGAUGCUAUGGAGCUGGCCAAUCCACUUUGGAACCCUCGAGAACCACGAUACCCAUUUUGCAUGGAAGCUUUGCAGAUGGAAGAAAUAAGCUGGGACUGAACGCCAUACAUCGAAGCAGCUUCUGACAAGAUCAUUAAAACUAUAAAUAUGUAGAUGUCUGAGGUUGCAAAGAUUUUCGAGGGCGUGCACAACUUCCCAACAUUUCGCAGCAGUCUCAUCUCUAGAUUUACUGUAGUGGUAGUAACAGCUGAUUUCAAGGUUUGUCAGAUUGGUCAGUUCUCUCAGACCCUUGAUGCUGUCCAUUGAGUUGCCCAAAUCAAACCGUCCAAGAGUACGCAAAGAUUUCAUGUUACCAAUCCUAUCAGGUAAUAUUACAUGACUAGGAACAACCAGAUGCAACAACCGGCUCAAAUUAAAAAUAUCUGAUGGUAGUUUCGGAAGCCAUGUUCGUUUAUAUGGAUUUUUUCCAUUUCCUAUGUCAAACGUUUCCAGUUGCUGAAGAUCCCCAAUUUUACUAGGUAACACCACAUGGCAACCUUCUGCUACGAUCUUUAAGAAUCUUAACUGAAACAGGUGACGUAUCCCAGUAAAGUCUAGCGAUGGAUCUGACUUGGACCAUCCUGAAAUUUCAAUUCCUAGAACUCGGAGAUGCUUGAACAGUUUAAAAGAG
rnacentral:lncRNA from 1 species